AAGCGCCAUGCUCGGAGCCUUAGGCACCACCUCUUCCUCUCCUCACAGCCUCCCGAGGCUUCUACGACGGGGCCUGUUCUCCCUCUCUACAGAGGAAGAGACUGAGGUCAGAGAGGCUCAACGCCCCGCCUGAGCCUGCACCGCUAGGACCCACACCCCGGCGCUGGGUCCCCACAGUGCGUCCUCUGCCUUGAAGCAAGUUGGUCAGAGAGGAACAUCCCUGGCAGUGGACUGCCUGGCAUGUGCUGCUCUGCUGGGACACUGUGAGGACUCCUCUGUGGAGGCCGCCUGCUGACCACACUCCUGUAAGUGCCGGAGCACGGUGGUCUCCAGCAGGCGUCGGGACCCCCCACUGGCUCUUGGGACUUGCAGCUGAGCAGAUGCAACAGGGCACGUGAGAGCAGAGUGGCUUCUGAGUGGCUGCCAGACAGCCAGCGGAUUCAACCUGUAGAGUGUGCUGUGCAAAUGUGGGCAGACAGCGUGCAGCGGUUGCCGUCAGAGUCCCUCCUGGCCUCUGGCCAUCGUGAGGCCACGGCUCUGACCUCUUCCAGCACCGUGAGCAUGAGGCCCCGAGAAGAAGGAAAAAACUGACUUGGCAGUGUGGCUGCUUGGAGGAGGAGGCACGGACAGACAAGGAGAAGGGAACGGGAGGACGUUCCAGGUGCAGCCUGUACAAGGCACCCCUAAACCCAGCCUGUCAUUAAGUCCUGUGGAUCCACCUAUAAAUUGUAGGCCUGGAUGACCCCCUUUUAUUCUUCUGACCAUAACUAGCAUGCCUGAAGGCUCAGUUCAUGCCAGCUUCCUGUAACCCACCUGUGCAGUGAAUUCUCUCAUUUAACUCUCACACAUCCUAUAAGAUAGGUACAGAUUUGCAAACCCUUGGAGACCCACAUGCUUUGGAAGUCAAAAAUAUCCUUUUCAUUUUAGAAAGGGUAACUCGAGUUCUGUUUCUGGUAAUGGUAGGGUAGCUGACAUCAGAGCAGCCCUGCUGUUAUUAAAUAACUGUCAACUCUGGGAAGAAUCAAAAGCAACUGUUUGAAGAUACAGGAGAGCAAAUAAAAGAAGACAGAAGCUGGAAGGGACAUGGUCUGUAUGAAUUUCCUGUUACUGAUGUCACAAAUGACCACAAACUCAAU
rnacentral:lncRNA from 1 species